rnacentral:rRNA from 1 species
GAUGAACGCUGGCGGCGUGCCUAAUACAUGCCAGUCGAGCGAACGGACGAGAAGCUUGCUUCUCUGAUGUUAGCGGCGGACGGGUGAGUAACACGUGGAUAACCUACCUAUAAGACUGGGAUAACUUCGGGAAACCGGAGCUAAUACCGGAUAGUAUUUUGAACCGCAUGGUUCAAAAGUGAAAGACGGUCUUGCUGUCACUUAUAGAUGGAUCCGCGCUGCAUUAGCUAGUUGGUAAGGUAACGGCUUACCAAGGCAACGAUGCAUAGCCGACCUGAGAGGGUGAUCGGCCACACUGGAACUGAGACACGGUCCAGACUCCUACGGGAGGCAGCAGUAGGGAAUCUUCCGCAAUGGGCGAAAGCCUGACGGAGCAACGCCGCGUGAGUGAUGAAGGUCUUCGGAUCGUAAAACUCUGUUAUUAGGGAAGAACAUAUGUGUAAGUAACUGUGCACAUCUUGACGGUACCUAAUCAGAAAGCCACGGCUAACUACGUG